CUGCAGCGCGUGAGAUAGAGAGAGACAGACGGGUGAUGAUGGACAGAUGGAUGGAUGGAUGGAUGGUACAACACAGGAACAGAAGAUGAAUUUGCGAUAAGUUACCAUGGUCUUCAGUCCAGGGCGUGCAGCUUGACUGCAGAGACGCCUCUGUCCUCUUUUCCGGCGUUUUCUCGAUGCCCUGCGGGACAAUGCUGAACCUCUCUGGGGUUCUGGGGAUGUUCUCUUUCCCCACGCCGGACGGCCCAGCCUGACCGUCAGACUUCGACUCUUUCCCGUGCGGCCGCGGAUGCUCGCCCUGCUGACAGGUGCGGUACAGGACGGGCACCCGCACCCCGGACACGCCCUCCCACUGGAAGUCUCCGCCCUCCAGAGGCGUCUCGGUGAUGAAGUCGAAGCUCCAGCGGCGGGCCGCUUCCUCCAGGUCCUUCUUCAGAGCGUUGCAGUACUCCAGCUGAAGCUGCUCGCGAUCCACCGGACCGAAGAGGUUCCGCCGCGUCGGGCCGUUCCCGAGAGCCUGCAGAAUCCGCUUGUGCAUCGCCAUGACCUGAAGCUGCAAAAUGACAUGGUUAUAGUCUCCAAACUAUCUGAAAUUACAUUUAAAUUGACAGUCAACAUCCACAGAAAUGCAGCGAAAGCAUGUCCUCCCUGACCUGUCUCUGUCUCCGUCUCUGCGCAGUCAUGUCUGAGCAUCUCUGAGCUGUGUGUGCUGUAUUUAAAGGCUGCAGUGAGUCAUGGACGGCUACAUGUCUGGGCAGAUCUACGGUGAUAUGUGAGGGCAUGUUCCUCAGGAUCAGACGGAGUGUGGUGAGAGCGUCUGACCAGCAGAGGGAGCCGCGCAUGCUGACUGCUGGCUAAUGUAGGGCACUAGAGUUUUAGCCGACGCUCCAGUGAGAAUUCAACACUGGAUUCUUGAAACUCUCAUUAUUGUGUGCAAACAAUUCUCACUAUGCUUUCAAAUAUUUUAGUUUUACAAUUACUGACUAUUGCUACUGUUACUUCUUACAUUUUUGGCGACUGAAUUAGAUCUGAAAUAAAAUAUUAGAUGUAAAACUUAACAUUUAAAAACUUAAACUUGCAAAAUGUAAACAAAAAUGAGAAAUGUUGCCUAAUAAAUGAGUUUAAAUUGAA